CCCCUAGAUGUUCUGGGCCGCACGCGCGCUACACUGAACAGUUCAACAAGUCUUAACCUUGGCCGAUAGGUCUGGGUAAUCUUUGAACGCUGUUCGUGAUUGGGAUAGACCUUUGCAAUUAUUAAUCUUCAACGAGGAAUGCCUAGUAAGCGCAAGUCAUCAGCUUGCGUUGAUUACGUCCCUGCCCUUUGUACACACCGCCCGUCGCUCCUACCGAUUGAAUGGUCCGGUGAAGCGUUCGGACCGUGGCCUUUGGACGGUUCGCCGUCUGUUGGCUGCGGGAAGUUCGUUAAACCUUAUCAUUUAGAGGAAGGAGAAGUCGUAACA
rnacentral:rRNA from 1 species